GCCUGGGUGGCUCAGUUGGUUAAGCAUCCGACUUUGGCUCAGGUCAUGAUCUCACGGUUUGUGGGUUUGAGCCCCACAUCGGGCU
rnacentral:tRNA from 1 species